AGAGUUUGAUCCUGGCUCAGAAUGAACGCUGGCGGCGUGCUUAACACAUGCAAGUCGAACGAGAAAGCUUUAGCUUGCUAGAGCGAGUAAAGUGGCGCACGGGUGAGUAACGCGUGGGUAAUCUACCCUUGAAUUUGGGAUAACACUUCGAAAGAGGUGCUAAUACCGGAUAACAUCUUUUUCAUUAUGGUGGAAGAGAUCAAAGAUAGCCUCUUCAUGAAAGCUAUUGUUUGAGGAUGAGCCCGCGUACCAUUAGCUUGUUGGUGGGGUAAAGGCCUACCAAGGCGACNAUGGUUAGCUGGUCUGAGAGGAUGAUCAGCCACACUGGAACUGGAACACGGUCCA
rnacentral:rRNA from 1 species